rnacentral:lncRNA from 1 species
GUUAAUUCGCUCAGCCAAGAUCACACAGGCUUAACCCAAUCCAGCCUUCCUAAGGAGAAUCAAAGCUUGGUUUUGCUAUUGCAUCCCUCGGUCUGAGCCACCGGAAGAGGAAAAUGAAGAUGGAAUUACCACUGGCUUGGGCCACACAAUCCCUGCUGUGAGCUUGGUGCUCGUUCGGUUUUUAUCUCUCACCCAUUACAAGAAACUUUCUCUACUCUAAACAAUUCCUGGGAACUUCUGAGUUGAAAUCAAAUAGAAUAUGUUGGUAGUUCAUCAUGGUUUUGUUAUCCAUUUUUUCACAAACAUUAAACUUUGUAUUAAAUUUCGGGCAAAUAAUAGAAGGGUCAAGAUGUUCAUUAACUUCAACUGAUGUUGCUUUUUCUCAUGAUUUUAAAAAGUGACAUUGAUUUUUGAAAAAUGUCUUUGAGUUCUGUGGAGCCCCAAACUUCAGCAGCAUCAGCAUAAAUACAAUUUAGUGUAUCUCUUUAAAGGAGGAAUUAAUUUGAAAAUGAUGAAAAUAGCUCAGGUGAAAAGGGUGGUGUAUUUGGGAAAUAAAGGUAUUAGUCAGAUUCACUGGAGCUGCAGAUGUUUCAGUUUCUCCAGCACUUUAACAGAAUUACCAUCUUUAGCAGAGGAGAAAUAUUCACCAUGUGAUAAUCACUAAAUGCUCUCAUGAAGUUUAAGUGCAUGAAGCCACAUAUACCAUUGAGUGUUUGAAUUUAUUUUACAAAAAGAAAUCUACCUACUGUAAGGUGAUCUAAAAGUAAAUUUAUGAUUGGAUAAGAAAAGGCAAAGAUUAUAGACUGAACAGUAUUCAUUAUGUGCUAUAAUUUAGUAAGUUAUACUAUAGUUUAAUUUGCCUAAAAAGUGUUUACAAUCCAGUUGGGUUGUCAUCUUUUUUCUUCAGAAUGUUUGAAUGAGCUAAGCGCUCAUACAUUGUUAAAAGCUUUAUUGAAAACGUGGCAUUCUUUUAAGUCCAAACAAUAAAUGUGGUUAACCUCAUUUCAUU